rnacentral:rRNA from 1 species
CGAAAGCCUGACGGAGCAACGCCGCGUGUGGGAAGAAGGCUCUUGGGCUGUCAACCACUUUUCUCAGGGAAGAAGACCUGACGGUACCUGAGGAAAAAGCCUCGGCUAACUCCGUGCCAGCAGCCGCGGUAAUACGGAGGAGGCAAGCGUUAUCCGGAAUUACUGGGCGUAAAGCGUUCGUAGGGGGCUCGUCAAGUCUGCUGCCAAAGACCGGAGCUCAACUCCGGGCAGGCAGUGGAAACUGGGGAGCUAGAGGGCGGCAGGGGCAGAAGGAAUUCCCAGUGUAGCGGUGAAAUGCGUAGAGAUUGGGAAGAACACCGGUGGCGAAAGCGCUCUACUGGGUCGCACCUGACCCUCAGGGACGAAAGCUAAGGGAGCG